UGACCUCGGAUCAGGUAGAUCCAU
rnacentral:rRNA from 1 species